rnacentral:rRNA from 1 species
GACGAACGCUGGCGGCGUGCUUAACACAUGCAAGUCGAACGGAAAGGCCCUGCUUUUGUGGGGUGCUCGAGUGGCGAACGGGUGGGUAACACGUUAGUAACCUGCCCUUGACUUUGGGAUAACUUCAGGAAACUGGGGCUAAUACCGGAUAGGAGCUCCUGCGGCAUGGUGGGGGUUGGAAAGUUUCGGCGGGUGGGGAUGGACUCGCGGCUUAUCAGCUUGUUGGUGGGGUAGUGGCUUACCAAGGCUUUGACGGGUAGCCGGCCUGAGAGGGUGACCGGCCACCUUGGGACUGAGAUACGGCCCAGACUCCUACGGGAGGCAGCAGUGGGGAAUAUUGCACAAUGGGCGGAAGCCUGAUGCAGCAACGCCGCGUGCGGGAUGACGGCCUUCGGGUUGUAAACCGCUUUCGCCUGUGACGAAGCGUGAGUGACGGUAAUGGGUAAAGAAGCACCGGCUAACUACGUG